AUUGUGUGAAUACAUAGCACAUUCGAGGUAGACGCAGAGAACUGAAACAUCUAAGUACCUGCAGGAAGAGAAAGAAAAUUCGAUUCCCUGAGUAGCGGCGAGCGAAACGGGAAAAGCCCAAACCAGCAAGCUUGCUUGUUGGGGUUGUAGGACUCCAAUAUGGUAGUUCUUUCAGAUAGUCGAAUGACUUGGAAAAGUCAGUCAAAGAGGGUAAAAACCCCGUAGACGAAAUGUGGAAGACACCUAGGAGGAUCCUGAGUACGGCGGAACACGAGAAAUUCCGUCGGAAUCCGGGAGGACCAUCUCCCAAGGCUAAAUACUCCCUAGUGACCGAUAGUGAACCAGUACCGUGAGGGAAAGGUGAAAAGCACCCCGGAAGGGGAGUGAAAUAGAACCUGAAACCGUGUGCCUACAACAAGUCAAAGCCCGUUAAUGGGUGAUGGCGUGCCUUUUGUAGAAUGAACCGGCGAGUUACGAUUGCAUGCGAGGUUAAGUUGAAGAGACGGAGCCGCAGCGAAAGCGAGUCUGAAUAGGGCGUUUGAGUAUGUAGUCGUAGACCCGAAACCAUGUGAUCUACCCAUGUCCAGGUUGAAGGUGCGGUAAAACGCACUGGAGGACCGAACCCACGUACGUUGAAAAGUGCGGGGAUGAGGUGUGGGUAGCGGAGAAAUUCCAAACGAACUUGGAGAUAGCUGGUUCUCUCCGAAAUAGCUUUAGGGCUAGCCUCGGAAUUGAGAAUGAUGGAGGUAGAGCACUGUUUGGACUAGGGGCCCAUCUCGGGUUACCGAAUUCAGAUAAACUCCGAAUGCCAUUCAUUCAUAUCCGGGAGUCAGACUGUGAGUGAUAAGAUCCAUAGUCGAAAGGGAAACAGCCCAGACCACCAGCUAAGGUCCCAAAAUAUAUGUUAAGUGGAAAAGGAUGUGGGGUUGCACAGACAACUAGGAUGUUGGCUUAGAAGCAGCCACCAUUUAAAGAGUGCGUAAUAGCUCACUAGUCGAGUGACCCUGCGCCGAAAAUGUACCGGGGCUAAACAUAUUACCGAAGCUGUGGAGUACACCUUUAGGUGUAUUGGUAGGAGAGCGUUCUAAGGGCGUUGAAGGCAGAUCGUGAGGACUGCU
rnacentral:rRNA from 1 species